UACGUAGGUGGCAAGCGUUGUCCGGAUUUACUGGGCGUAAAGAGCGCGCAGGCGGUCGUUCAAGUCGCGUGUGAAAGCCCCCGGCUCAACUGGGGAGGGUCACGCGAUACUGAUCGACUCGAAGGCAGGAGAGGGUAGUGGAAUUCCCGGUGUAGUGGUGAAAUGCGUAGAGAUCAGCAGGAACACCCGUGGCGAAGGCGGCCCCCUGGGCCGUACCUGACGCUGAGGCGCGAAGGCUAGGGGAGCGAACGGG
rnacentral:rRNA from 1 species